rnacentral:lncRNA from 1 species
GGCGCAAAUGGAGGUUUAACCGGUGGAAAUCGAAGAACAAAUGGUAGAAAGGCGAUUAUCAAUGGACUCGUGAGUGAUCUGUGUGGCUGCCAUGGGAGGGAGAAGCAGAAAUCGCAAGUGCUUUGUGAGGGAGAGGGAGAAAUUGCGAUUGCUAUGUGAGUGUUAGGGUUCGAGAGAGUGGUUUGCGAGUGUGCGAGCUCGAGAGAGGUUCAUAACGAGUGUGAAUACUGUUGAAGCUUCACUUAAUCAGAAAUUCUUUUUUUAAAAAACUUAUUUCUCAUCUGUAUAUAACAUCUGCAGCUAACA